CCAACAUGGAAACCCCAGGGGGCCACUCUCUCCAGGGCUCUCCAGGUGAUACAGGGGAGCAUAGGCUCAGCCCAGUGAUGUGCAAUCCCAUUCCACAAUGUUGGAGAUGAAGCCGGGCUCUUGAGCCUGCACCUGCAUAUUCCUACAUCUUGUCAGAGUCCGAUGGACAAUAACUGAGGAGACAAACCAUGCAGGAAGCAGUU
rnacentral:snoRNA from 1 species